rnacentral:rRNA from 1 species
AGGAUGAACGCUAGCUACAGGCUUAACACAUGCAAGUCGAGGGGCAUCAGGAAGAAAGCUUGCUUUCUUUGCUGGCGACCGGCGCACGGGUGAGUAACACGUAUCCAACCUGCCCUUUACUCGGGGAUAGCCUUUCGAAAGAAAGAUUAAUACCCGAUAGCAUAAUGAUUCCGCAUGGUUUCAUUAUUAAAGGAUUCCGGUAAAGGAUGGGGAUGCGUUCCAUUAGGUUGUUGGUGAGGUAACGGCCCACCAAGCCUUCGAUGGAUAGGGGUUCUGAGAGGAAGGUCCCCCACAUUGGAACUGAGACACGGUCCAAACUCCUACGGGAGGCAGCAGUGAGGAAUAUUGGUCAAUGGGCGCUAGCCUGAACCAGCCAAGUAGCGUGAAGGAUGAAGGCUCUAUGGGUCGUAAACUUCUUUUAUAUAAGAAUAAAGUGCAGUAUGUAUACUGUUUUGUAUGUAUUAUAUGAAUAAGGAUCGGCUAACUCCGUGCCAGCAGCCGCGGUAAUACGGAGGAUCCGAGCGUUAUCCGGAUUUAUUGGGUUUAAAGGGAGCGUAGGUGGACUGGUAAGUCAGUUGUGAAAGUUUGCGGCUCAACCGUAAAAUUGCAGUUGAUACUGUCAGUCUUGAGUACAGUAGAGGUGGGCGGAAUUCGUGGUGUAGCGGUGAAAUGCUUAGAUAUCACGAAGAACUCCGAUUGCGAAGGCAGCUCACUGGACUGCAACUGACACUGAUGCUCGAAAGUGUGGGUAUCAAACAGGAUUAGAUACCCUGGUAGUCCACACAGUAAACGAUGAAUACUCGCUGUUUGCGAUAUACAGUAAGCGGCCAAGCGAAAGCAUUAAGUAUUCCACCUGGGGAGUACGCCGGCAACGGUGAAACUCAAAGGAAUUGACGGGGGCCCGCACAAGCGGAGGAACAUGUGGUUUAAUUCGAUGAUACGCGAGGAACCUUACCCGGGCUUAAAUUGCAGUGGAAUGAUGUGGAAACAUGUCAGUGAGCAAUCACCGCUGUGAAGGUGCUGCAUGGUUGUCGUCAGCUCGUGCCGUGAGGUGUCGGCUUAAGUGCCAUAACGAGCGCAACCCUUAUCUUUAGUUACUAACAGGUUAUGCUGAGGACUCUAGAGAGACUGCCGUCGUAAGAUGUGAGGAAGGUGGGGAUGACGUCAAAUCAGCACGGCCCUUACGUCCGGGGCUACACACGUGUUACAAUGGGGGGUACAGAAGGCAGCUAGCGGGUGACCGUAUGCUAAUCCCAAAAUCCUCUCUCAGUUCGGAUCGAAGUCUGCAACCCGACUUCGUGAAGCUGGAUUCGCUAGUAAUCGCGCAUCAGCCACGGCGCGGUGAAUACGUUCCCGGGCCUUGUACACACCGCCCGUCAAGCCAUGGGAGCCGGGGGUACCUGAAGUACGUAACCGCAAGGAUCGUCCUAGGGUAAAA